rnacentral:rRNA from 1 species
UGGGGAAUAUUGCACAAUGGGCGCAAGCCUGAUGCAGCCAUGCCGCGUGUGUGAAGAAGGCCUUCGGGUUGUAAAGCACUUUCAGCGGGGAGGAAGGCGGUGAGGUUAAUAACCUCAUCGAUUGACGUUACCCGCAGAAGAAGCACCGGCUAACUCCGUG